AUUGAACGCUGGCGGCAGGCCUAACACAUGCAAGUCGAACGAGUGGCGGACGGGUGAGUAAUGUCUGGGAAACCGCCCGAUGGAGGGGGAUAACUACUGGAAACGGUAGCUAAUACCGCAUACCAUCGGAUGUGCCCCGAUGGGAUUAGCUAGUAGGUGGGGUAACGGCUCACCUCGGCGACGAUCCCUAGCUGGUCUGAGAGGAUGACCAGCCACCCGGGAACUGAGACACGGUCCAGACUCCUACGGGAGGCAGCAGUGGGGAAUAUUGCACAAUGGGCGAAAGCCUGAUGCAGCAAUGCCGGGUGUAUGAAGAAGGCCUUCGGGUUGUAAAGUACUUUCAGCGAGGAGGCGUUACUCGCAGAAGAAGCACCGGCUAACUCCGUGCCAGCAGCCGCGGUAAUAC
rnacentral:rRNA from 1 species